UUUUGGACAAUGGGCGCAAGCCUGAUCCAGCAAUGCCGCGUGAGUGAAGAAGGCCUUCGGGUUGUAAAGCUCUUUUGUCAGGGAAGAAACGGUGAGCUCUAAUACAGUUUGCUAAUGACGGUACCUGAAGAAUAAGCACCGGCUAACUACGUGCCAGCAGCCGCGGUAAUACGUAGGGUGCAAGCGUUAAUCGGAAUUACUGGGCGUAAAGCGUGCGCAGGCGGUUAUGUAAGUCAGAUGUGAAAUCCCCGGGCUCAACCUGGGAAUGGCAUUUGAGACUGCAUGGCUAGAGUGUGUCAGAGGGGGAUAGAAUUCCACGUGUAGCAGUGAAAUGCGUAGAGAUGUGGAGGAAUACCGAUGGCGAAGGCAGCCCCCUGGGAUAACACUGACGCUCAUCACGAAA
rnacentral:rRNA from 1 species